AAAUUGUAUAAAAAUAUAUUUUUUGAUGUUAUCAGUUUUAAAUAGAGUAGACGACAUUGCUUUAUUGUAAAAAAUAUCUUUAUUACAAAAAAAUACCAACCACGAAGAUAUAUUCUCAUCAAGCAGCUAGAGAACAAAGUAAUUAAGCGAAACAAGAGAUCAGAAUACUAAGCUAAAGGCAAAGAGUAAUGUCUGUUAGCCAUCAUGGAUACGUCAAAAUCGAAUAGACUUGCGGGCAACUCGUUCGAGGAUUUCAUUAGUUUUAAAAGCAAGCGUCAACUGCAAUCUGACUAUUGAAGGCUGUAUAUCCAAGAGGCCUUAACAGGCAUGGAAAUUACAACAAGAAACAACUACAGAAUUCCUGCAUCACUGUUCGAUGGACAUUACGGAAUAUAAUCAAUCGAAAUUGCUCGACGGUCGAUAGUCACUCCUUACAAAGGAGUAGUUUCAGAGGUGUGAUCAAAGAGAGAGGAGGUAGUUAACGCAUGCAUUAAUAUUAAUCGAGAGGUUGACACAAGCAGUCUGCCGUGACCUCUCGAGCAAUUUCCGGCGUGGGGGUGAGAAAUAGGAAGGGACGAGGUCGCUAAAGAUUUGAAAAGCCACCCCCAGAAAACCCACGCAUAUUCCUAAGGUCAGAUAGAAUGCACGUAUUAACCGUUUCUGGAACGUUGAUUUCUCCAGGCAUUUGAGAAUUUGGCGAAUUUCCAUGGAAAGGCGAGGAGGAAGCAUGAUUUUGAAUAGGUUAGGAAUAAUUUAGGGAAACGAAUUAGCGUGUACAUACCGUUGGCUCUUUCAUUUCUAGGGGAUUAAUAUCCGAAGGCAUCGAAGAAACUGGAAUCUACAAGAUUUUUAUUGAAACUCGAGGAAAAGUUUAAUUUUGUAUGCGUUAGGAAUAAUUCGGAAAAUCGAAUAUAUAUGAAAUUUGAGUGGAAGAAUAGUUGUCGAGUGGUUUGAAGAGAAUGAAGUGGUUUAAGCGUGACUCAUUUCUAUGAGGAAAUACAUUAUAUUAAAGGAGUUAUUUUCUGUGAGGUGUAAUAAUAUUUAUAUAUCUAUUUGUAAAUUGAUCGUCUUAUUAGAUUAAAUAUAUUAUUUAAUUAAAAUCCUAUUGGUUAAGAGGAAUUGAUUAUAGAUAGCAUAAAAUAAAACUAAUAAAUACUAGAAAUUGUAUAAAACAAAUUAAGUAACGCAAGAUGAAGAUUGACAAAAUUCGAGAUUUUACUGGCUAAGGGGAAUUGAUUGUAAAUAACAUAAAGAAAAAUGAAAUAGUAAUUAUAUUAUAAAUCGAGAUGCGAUAAAAAAUACUAUAAAUUCUGUGCAACAGAUUAAUUAAC
rnacentral:misc_RNA from 1 species